UGAGGAAUAUUGGUCAAUGGGCGGAAGCCUGAACCAGCCAAGUAGCGUGAAGGAUGACUGCCCUAUGGGUUGUAAACUUCUUUUAUAAGGGAAUAAUUGCGGGUACGCGUACCCGUUUGCAUGUAGCUUAUGAAUAAGGAUCGGCUAACUCCGUGCCAGCAGCCGCGGUAAUACGGAGGAUCCGAGCGUUAUCCGGAUUUAUUGGGUUUAAAGGGAGCGUAGGCGGGCGCUUAAGUCAGCUGUGAAAGUUUGGGGCUCAACCUUAAAAUUGCAGUUGAUACUGGGUGCCUUGAGUGCAGUAUAGGCAGGCGGAAUUCGUGGUGUAGCGGUGAAAUGCUUAGAUAUCACGAAGAACUCCUAUUGCGAAGGCAGCUUGCUGGAGUGUAACUGACGCUGAUGCUCGAAAGUGUGGGUAUCAAACAGG
rnacentral:rRNA from 1 species